rnacentral:tRNA from 1 species
UCCCUGAUGACUCAGUUGGUAAAAGAAUCUGCCUGCAAUGCAGGAGACCACCUCCCACGCAGGAGACCCAGGUUCGAUCCCUGGUUUGGGAA